CACGCCGUAAACGGUGGGCGCUAGGUGUGGGGAACAUUCCACGUUCUCCGUGCCGCAGCUAACGCAUUAAGCGCCCCGCCUGGGGAGUACGGCCGCAAGGCUAAAACUCAAAGGAAUUGACGGGGGCCCGCACAAGCGGCGGAGCAUGCGGCUUAAUUCGAUGCAACGCGAAGAACCUUACCUAGGCUUGACAGUUGGGGAAAUCUGGCAGAGAUGUCAGGUCCGCAAGGGCCCCAAAACAGGUGG
rnacentral:rRNA from 1 species